rnacentral:sRNA from 1 species
GCUGGGUGUGCAGUGUAUACCUGUAAUCCCAGCAUCUUGGUAGGUUAAGAGGGGGGGAUCACUUGGGCCAAGGAGUUCAAGGUCAGCCUGGACAACACAGUGAGACCCUAUCUCAA